UCUGUUUGCAACAUAAUUUAAUUCAUGGAAAAUAAACUUCAACCACAAAUAAAAAUAUGAAGAAAUAACAAUUUUAUUGAUGUAUGAAGUGGGUACAAAUCUGCUCCUCCCUUGCUUCUUCUCUCUUGAUUUUUUUCGUAAUUCAAGAAUCGUGGGUAGCGUAUUUCUCCAACGUAGGAAUAUUUAGAUUUGAUCUCCAUGAAAAGAGGAUUUGUGGAUUUUCUUGAUGUAUUUGAUUAUCAAGAGAUUGGAUCUUCUUGAUGUAUUUGAUUAUAAAGAAGAGAGAGAUUUUGAUCAUUUCGUGAUAUUCCAUGAGUUUAUGAAAUUAUCUAGAGAUAUUUGAUUUCUUUAUGAAUAUCUAAUGAAUUUGUGGAUCUU
rnacentral:lncRNA from 1 species